rnacentral:rRNA from 1 species
UGGCGGACGGGUGAGUAACGCGUGGGGAACCUGCCCUGUACAGGGGGAUAACACUUAGAAAUAGGUGCUAAUACCACAUAAGCGCACAGUAUCGCAUGAUACAGUGUGAAAAACUCCGGUGGUACAGGAUGGACCCGCGUCUGAUUAGCUGGUUGGCGGGGUAACGGCCCACCAAGGCGACGAUCAGUAGCCGGCCUGAGAGGGUGAACGGCCACAUUGGGACUGAGACACGGCCCAAACUCCUACGGGAGGCAGCAG